AUAACACGUGGAUAACCUACCCUGAGGAGGGGGAUAACCCCGGGAAACUGGGGAUAAUACCUCAUAGGUUUCAGAUGCUGGAAUGCUCUGAAACCGAAAUGCUCCGGCGCCUCAGGAUGGAUCUGCGGCCGAUUAGGUUGUUGUUGGGGUAACGGCCCAACAAGCCCGUCAUCGGUACGGGUUGUGAGAGCAAGAGCCCGGAGAUGGAUUCUGAGACACCAAUCCAGGCCCUACGGGGCGCAGCAGGCGCGAAACCUUUACAAUGCGAGCAAUCGUGAUAAGGGAACCCCGAGUGCCUGAAACCAGGCUGUUCAGGUGUUUAAAAAGCACCUGGAGAAAGGGCCGGGCAAGACCGGUGCCAGCCGCCGCGGUAAUACCGGCGGCUCGAGUGGUGGCCGCUAUUAUUGGGCUUAAAGCGUUCGUAGCUGGGUUGUUAAGUCUCUUGGGAAAUCUCACGGCUCAACCGUGAGGCGACUAAGAGAUACU
rnacentral:rRNA from 1 species